CAGCCUUAUUUGGGUCUCACAGAUUGCACUACCCUGUUGACCACCUGGCAAUUCCCUCUGACUAUUUCCCUGUGGCGGUUGGCCAUUUUGGGACACCCACUUGACCCUCUGUCCACUCUGGAGCUUCCAGGAAGCUCUUUCUGGCCCAGUUUUCUCUCUCUCCCUCUCUCUUACUCUUUCUCUGACUCCCAUCUUGCCCUUCCAGCGUGGAAAAUUCCUCAUACCUCCCGGCCUAUUCUCCCUUGUGGUGCCACUUAGAUAAUUUGAAAAUCCUGAGCCUGGCCCCUGAUAUUAAACCAAAAAGGCUCAUAAAAUUCUGUACCCAGGACUGGCCUACAUACCCCUUGGACAACCAAAAGGUUUGGCCCACGUGUGGGUCUCUGGAUCCCAAUUUACUCCAGGAUAUUUUUAAUUACUGUGAGCAAUCAAAGAAGUGGAAUAUGAUUUCCUAUGUGGAGGCUUUUUCCUUGCUUCAAUCUCAUCCAAAUCUCUGCACCCAGUGCAAGCCUUAACAUCUACUCCUUGCUCUCAAGCCUCCUUCCUCCUCUUCUUCUCCACCCUCUGCCUCCACACCCUCUCCCCCUUCUUCCUCUUCUCUGCUGUCAGCCUCCACUUUCCACCCUGCUGAUGAACCACGUCCAUACCACUCUCCCCCACCCUCAGCCCCGCUUUCCCCACUUUUACCCCCUCCCAUUUCCCCCAUCUUCUACAUCUGUGGCAUCUUCUGGGAACACUCCUCCUUCUCUUCCUCCCAACAUUUCCCCACAAUCUCCUCCUGCUUCCAUUCCUUCCACCCCAGGCCCUCCACCUCAGUUUAGUCCACCCGCCACCUGAUCAGCCACCCAUUCAUGUGCUAAUACAGCACCUAACCCACAAGUCACCACAUUUCAUCACCAGACUCAAACUUCACAUAUUGUGCCCCCCCCCUUGGAGAGGUCACCAGGCCAGAUGGGAUUUUAAGGAUUUAUUUUCCUUUUUCUAUGCUUGACAUUUCUCAAGUAGAAAAAAAUAUUGGGAUCCUACACUGCAAACUCUGUCUCUUAUAUUAAAGAGUUUCAGUACUUAACUCAAAACUAAAGCCUCACCUUUCAUGAUAUCUAUAUGAUUCUGUCCAAUAUUCUCCUCCAUAAGGAAAGGAGAAGGUCUGGGACCAGGCUAGGGCCUAUACAGACCAGAUUAAUCAGACUGAUGCCUACCAUCCCCUAGCGGCCCCGGCGGUUCCAGACCAAGACCCCUGUUGGGAUUUUAAUGACCCCCAAGACCUGGGACGCAGGGACCACCUUAUUACCUGUCUGAUAGCUGGCCCAAAGGUGGCAGCACAAAAGGCUAUUAACUUUGAUAAACUCCAGGAAGUCAUCCAGAAGAAGAAUGAAAACCCCUCAGCCUUCCUAGACCGACUAACAAAGGCUCUCCUUCAGUACUCCAAUUUGGACCCUGAAUCCCCAGAUGGGAGGCAACUUCUUAUGACCUAUUUUUUCUCACAAAGCUACCCCAACAUCCAGGCAAAGCUAAAAAACAUUAGAGAAGGGACCCUUGACUCCCCAGAUGGAGGUGCUGGCCAUGGCCUUCAACGUCUAUCACAACAGAGAUGAAA
rnacentral:lncRNA from 1 species